rnacentral:rRNA from 1 species
UACGGAGGGUGCAAGCGUUAUCCGGAUUCACUGGGCUUAAAGGGUGCGUAGGCGGGCAGGUAAGUCCGUGGUGAAAUCUCUGAGCUUAACUCAGAAACUGCCAUGGAUACUAUUUGUCUUGAAUAUUGUGGAGGUGAGCGGAAUAUGUCAUGUAGCGGUGAAAUGCUUAGAUAUGACAUAGAACACCAAUUGCGAAGGCAGCUUACUACACAGUUAUUGACGCUGAGGCACGAAAGCGUGGGGAUCAAACAGG